UGUAUUAUCAAAAUAUGCUUUUUUUUGGCAACAGAUAUUGGAAUUUAGGAGUAAUAUCUAAUAUACCCUUCAAAAUCCUUGAAAUAUCUUACUCUUUUUUUUUUAUUUUAAGAAUCGUUAGUUCCCUGUAAAAUUACUAUUUUUGCCUUCUCGAAUAUUCUCUUCGAUCGUCAUCAAUUUUUCUUAUUUGUUCUUAAGUCGAUAGUAAAAAAAUAUUUUGAAAUUUUGUCUUUUAUAUAUACUAUUCUAACAUCAUUAACUUUUCUUAUUUACUCAUAAAAGAGUUUGAUUUUUUUUAAUUCUGAUAGAAAUUUAACUCUAGUUUAACCCGAGAUGACUUAACGAGUAAUAACACCGAAGUUAUUUUUAAAUAAUUGAGAAAUAUUAGAAGAAAAAUAUUUUCUAACCUUACUCUAAUUUAAAGUACAAAAAUUCAAAAUACUUUUUUUACUCCCAACUUAAGAACAAAUAAGAAAAAAAUGAUGACGGCCGAAGAGAAUAUUCGAAAACGCAAAAUAGGAAUUUUACAUGGAUAUCGAUUAUUUCUAACCGUUCAUAAAUAAAAUUUAACUCUAGAAGUAUAUUUAAAAUAACUUGAAAUAUUAAAAAGUUAAUUUUAAUAUUAGCUUUCUAAGAGGGGUGAAUAAAAAAGUCAGAAAUAUUUUAAGGAUAUAUAAGCAAUUGCCCCUUGAAUUUAAUUACUUUAGUUGAGGCUGUACAAGAAGGCUCAACUGCAGCUGCGACUAUACUCAAAAUUGGCUGCAGUUCCAAUUAUAGGAAUUGCGAGGAUAGUUUUACAUUACAUAUUAUAAAAUAAUAAAUUUUAUAUAUAAAAUUCUCAACUACAUGAAAAAAAAUAAAUUAUUUACAGCUAUAAUAUUUUUUAAGACAUCCAAUCAAGCAAGAUGUAUAUAGUUAUAAUUACUGUAAUUUCAAUAGUAUG
rnacentral:lncRNA from 1 species